AAGAGGGCAAGUGGUUGUGCUCCAUAUCACUUAAGGAUGUUUUCACUUUGUAUAGCAUGUAUCCGUUUGUCUUCCCCCUUUCAGAAGUCACCAGUCUUCUCUACAUGGAAUGGACCAGAAACAGACAGAUCAUCCAGAAGCUACAGUUACAGCAGAACAGAGCUGCUUGAUUGCUUAACAGCACAUUCUCAUGAGACAAAGUGACAUCUGUGCCCCAUGUUUUGCACAUCUUCCUGAACCAUUCACAGCAUGUUUUCCAGAAAGGCAUCCAGUCUUGACUUGAAGAUGGAGAAUCUACAACAUCCCAUGAUAGUUUGUUCCAG